CCUACGGGUGGCAGCAGUGGGGAAUAUUGGACAAUGGGGGCAACCCUGAUCCAGCCAUGCCGCGUGUGUGAAGAAGGCCCUCGGGUGGUAAAGCACUUUCAGUGAGGAAGAACGCCUGGUGGUUUAUACCCAUCAGGAAAGACAUCACUCACAGAAGAAGCACCGGCUAACUCCGUGCCAGCAGCCGCGGUAAUACGGAGGGUGCGAGCGUUAAUCGGAAUUACUGGGCGUAAAGCGCGCGUAGGUGGCUUGAUAAGCCGGUUGUGAAAGCCCCGGGCUCAACCUGGGAACGGCAUCCGGAACUGUCAAGCUAGUGUGCAGGAGAGGAAGGUAGAAUUCCCGGUGUAGCGGUGAAAUGCGUAGAGAUCGGGAGGAAUACCAGUGGCGAAGGCGGCCUUCUGGACUGACACUGACACUGAGGUGCGAAAGCGUGGGUAGCAAACAGGAUUAGAUACCCCAGUAGUC
rnacentral:rRNA from 1 species